GGGUGGAUAGCUCAGCUGGUUCAGAGCGCCGGCCUUACAAGCCGGAGGUCACAGGUUCGAGCCCUGUUCCACCCA
rnacentral:tRNA from 1 species